GAUGAACGCUGGCGGCUUGCCUAAUACAUGCAAUUCGAGCGAACGGACGAGAAGCUUGCUUCUCUGAUGUUAGCGGCGGACGGGUGAGUAACACGUUGAUAACCUACCUAUAAGACUGGGAUAAUUUCGGGAAACCGUAGCUAAUACCGGAUAAUAUUUUGCACCGCAUGGUUCAAAAGUGAAAGACGUUCUUGCUGUCACUUAUAGAUGGAUCCGCGCUGCAUUAGCUAGUUGGUAAGGUAACGGCUUACCAAGGCAACGAUGCAUAGCCGACCUGAGAGGGUGAACGGCCACACUGGAACUGAGACACGGUCCAGACUCCUACGGGAGGCAGCAGUAGGGAAUCUUCCGCAAUGGGCGAAAGCCUGACGGAGCAACGCCGCGUGAGUGAUGAAGGUCUUCGGAUCGUAAAACUCUGUUAUUGGGGAAGAACAUAUGUGUAAGUAACUGUGCACAUCUUGACGGUACCUAAUCAGAAAGCCACGGCUAACUACGUG
rnacentral:rRNA from 1 species